GACAGAGGAUGCAAGCGUUAUCCGGAAUGAUUGGGCGUAAAGCGUCUGUAGGUGGCUUUUCAAGUCCGCCGUCAAAUCCCAGGGCUCAACCCUGGACAGGCGGUGGAAACUACCAAGCUGGAGUACGGUAGGGGCAGAGGGAAUUUCCGGUGGAGCGGUGAAAUGCAUUGAGAUCGGAAAGAACACCCGUGGCGAAGGCGGCUCUCUGGGACGGUACUGACGCUGAGACGCGAAAGCGUGGGGAGCGAACAGG
rnacentral:rRNA from 1 species